GCUUAACACAUGCAAGUCGAGGGGUAACAGGAAGUGCUUGCACUUCGCUGACGACCGGCGAACGGGUGCGUAACGCGUAUGCAACCUACCUUCUACAGGGGGAUAGCCCAGAGAAAUUUGGAAUAAUACCCCAUACGGUCAUUUAAUGGCAUCAUUAUAUGAAGAAAACUCCGGUGGUAGAAGAUGGGCAUGCGUCCUAUUAGUUAGUUGGUAAGGUAAUGGCUUACCAAGGCAUCGAUAGGUAGGGGUCCUGAGAGGGAGAUCCCCCACACUGGUACUGAGACACGGACCAGACUCCUACGGGAGGCAGCAGUGAGGAAUAUUGGACAAUGGAGGCAACUCUGAUCCAGCCAUGCCGCGUGCAGGAAGACGGCCCUACGGGUUGUAAACUGCUUUUAUACAGGAAGAAUUAUACCUACGUGUAGGUAUUUGACGGUACUGUAAGAAUAAGGAUCGG
rnacentral:rRNA from 1 species